CACGUAGGGCGCAAGCGUUGUCCGGAAUUAUUGGGCGUAAAGAGCUCGUAGGCGGUCUGUUGCGUCCGCUGUGAAAACUCGGGGCUUAACCCCGAGCCUGCAGUGGAUACGGGCAGACUAGAGGUAGGUAGGGGAGAAUGGAAUUCCCGGUGUAGCGGUGAAAUGCGCAGAUAUCGUAAGGAAGACCAGUGGCGAAGGCGGGUCUCUGGACAGUUCCUGACGCUGAGGCACGAAGGUCAGGGGAGCAAACGGG
rnacentral:rRNA from 1 species